AUCUCUUCCCAUAGUACACUGCUAUGUGAAUGUUAUGUUACGUGGCAAAGGGGCAGAUGGAAUAAAUCACUAAUCAGCUAGCCUUCAAAUAGGGGAUGGACCGUGAAUUGUAUCCAGGUGGGCCCAUUCUAAUCACAAGCGUCCUUCAAAGCUUGUGAGAGACAGAGGAGACAAAGAGGGAGCUGCGGCUCUGGAGAUGAGAACCAGAGAAUCGGCAGCAUGGCGAAGGACCCUGCUUCACCUUGUCAGCUUUGAAAAAGCAGGAAGGGAGCCAAGAGUGAAGGAAACUGGACUCGAGAAGCUGGAAAAGACAAGGCAAAGGAAGCCCCUCUUGAGUUCCCAGAAAGUAAUAUGCCUGCCAGCACCUCGCUGUUAAACAGGUUGGAUAUGCUUCUGCUCCUUGCUUAAGACCGUGACACAGCAGUGCCUCUCUGGGACAGCUGGAUUUUUGGCAGAGGGAAGAACAAGCAUAGAAAACCACGUGCCUUCUCUUAAAACUCUGGCUUCUGGGGACACGCAUCACUUCUGUCUACAUGUCUUCAGAAAAAGACAGGGUCCCCGAGGCUGCCAGGCGUCUUGAAAAACGUCUCUUGGUGUGUGCACCGGAUGCUCUUGGGGGUCACUGGAACUUGAGACUGAAAUAGGAAAAAGAAAAGUACAUAAAAAGAGAAGUGACCUUACAUUGCCUCAAGUCUCUGAACCGGAAGCCCUGUCCUGACCCGUGUGGCUGUGAUCCCCGUGCAGCUGACACGGCUUGGACCGGCACCACAGGAGAGCAGAAAGGCUGGGAAUGCUCUAUUCUGCGAUGUCCUAAUCUGCAGUCCUUCUCUAAUUCCAACCCUACCUGCUCAAAGCAGCCUGAAUGGUCUCCAGUGAAUCUACAGGAACCCUUUACUGUCUGUUUGAUAAAUCUAAACUCUACGCCUUGGCGUUCAGAGCAUUCUGCCAACUUGACCUACUCACCUCCAAUACCCCAAGCUCUUCUUCUAACUUAUUUAGACAAAUCACUAUGGCUCACUUCCCAUCCACUCCCUGACUCCGGUUCAACAGUUUUUUUCCUCCCUUGUCUCUCAUUAUAAACCUCUUCUGUUCUC